AUCAACUUUCGAUGGUAGGAUAGAGGCCUACCAUGGUGGUAACGGGUAACGGGGUGUUAGGGCACGACACCGGAGAGGGAGCUGAGAAACGGCUACCACAUCCAAGGAUGGCAGCAGGCGCGCAAAUUACCCAAUCCCGACACGGGGAGGUAGUGACAAUAAAUAACAAUACGGGGUUCUUUAGGAUUUCGUAAUUGGAAUGAGUACAAUUUAAAUCUCUUAACGAGGAACAAUUGGAGGGCAAGUCUGGUGCCAGCAGCCGCGGUAAUUCCAGCUCCAAUAGCGUAUAUUAAAGUUGUUGCAGUUAAAAAGCUCGUAGUUGAAUUUCGGGAUCAAUAUGUUGGUCGUGCCUCGGUACGUACUAGCUUAUUGGUUUCUCCUUUCUGAAGAACCAUGAUGUCAUUUAUUUGGUGUCGUGGGGAAUCAGGACUGUUACUUUGAAAAAAUUAGAGUGUUUAAAGCAGGCUCACGCUUGAAUACAUUAGCAUGGAAUAAUGAAAUAGGACGUUUGAUUCUAUUUUGUUGGUUUUUAGGAUCGACGUAAUGAUUAAUAGGGAUAGUUGGGGGCAUUAGUAUUCAAUUGUCAGAGGUGAAAUUCUUGGAUUUAUUGAAGACUAACUACUGCGAAAGCAUUUGCCAAGGAUGUUUUCAUUAAUCAAGAACGAAAGUUAGGGGAUCGAAGACGAUCAGAUACCGUCGUAGUCUUAACCAUAAACUAUGCCGACUAGGGAUCGGAUGAUGUUAAUUUUUUAAUGACUCAUUCGGCGCCUUACGGGAAACCAAAGUGUUUGGGUUC
rnacentral:rRNA from 1 species